UUCCUUGUUUGCAUUUCUCCUCCCGGCCACGUGGCGGCCAGUGCAGCCACUCACCGCCCGAUCCCAGACACCCCGGCUGUUGCGGCCUCCUGCACACACCUCGGGGCGGCUCCUGCCCCCUGGGGAUGCUCGGCUCAGGCGGAUGUCCACUGUACGUACCCGCGGGUGCGGACUCCAAAGCCUGCCGGUGCCCGCCCCCUUCCCCUACGUUCUCCUCUACCGUAAGGCAGGGCGCCUCCUCCCCGCCCCCUCCGCCAGUCAAGGGGAGGGGAAGGGGGCGGGCAGCGCAGGGGGUGUGACAGCUCCCGCCCGGACCGGAGCCAGCGCAGCCUUGCUUCAGCGCCCGGUGCCAGCUGGCUUCUUCGUCUGGGACGAAGGCGGAGGCUCGGGGCUCCUUGUCGCCGGUGGCUGGGUGGCGUCCCCCCACCAAGCCCCCACCCCUCUACUCACCCAAGAGGAGCCUCUCCACCAAGCCCUGCAUCCUGCUGCCCUGGCAGCCGGUCCAGCUAGGCACUGGCCCCGUUCGCUGUACCUGGACUUAUCCACCGGCUUCCUCCUGAUUCCCUUAUCAAAGCUGAUGGGGGUCGCUGGGGACCGCCCAGCCUUUUGUUAGAGCCUGCACGGCUGUGCGAGCUUCAAAAGAAACAUGAAGCUCCUGGCAGGGCUGCAGCACCUCCGCCUGACCAGUCCAGAGGACUCUAAGGAAGUAGUUCUGCCUGGGGCAGUUGAACUGUGGUCCAGCUGCUCCACUCCCGUCCCAUGGCUGUCCGCUUUCCUCCCUGUGUCACAGGUGGGCUGGCCAGGUGAGAGCUGCUGGCAGGUGGGCCUGGCUGUGGAGGAUAGCCCAGCUCUGGGAGCACCGCGGGUGGGACCCCUCCCUGACGUGGUGCCAGAGGGGACCCUACUCAACAUGGUGUUGAGGAAGAUGCACCGGCCCCGAAGCUGCUCCUACCAGCUGCUGCUGGAGCACCAGCGUCCGAGCUGCAUCCAGGGGCUGCGCUGGACACCACUCACCAACAGCGAGGAGUCCCUGGAUUUCAGCGAGAGCCUGGAGCAGGCCUCCACAGAGCGGGUGCUCAGGGCUGGGAGGCAGCUGCAUCGGCAACUGCUGGCCACCUGCCCAAACCUCAUCCGAGACCGGAAGUACCACCUUAGGCUCUAUCGGCAGUGCUGCUCUGGCCGGGAGCUGGUGGAUGGGAUCUUGGCCCUGGGACUUGGGGUCCAUUCCCGGAGCCAAGCUGUGGGAAUCUGCCAGGUGCUGCUGGAUGAAGGUGCCCUCUGCCAUGUGAAACACGACUGGGCCUUCCAGGACCGAGAUGCCCAAUUCUACCGGUUCCCCGGGCCCGAGCCCGAGCCCGUGGGAGCUCAUGAGAUAGAGGAGGAGUUGGCUGAAGCUGUGGCCCUGCUCUCCCAGCGGGGGCCUGACGCCCUGCUCACUGUGGCACUUCGAAAGCCCCCAGGUCAGCGCACGGAUGAAGAGCUGGACCUCAUCUUUGAGGAGCUGCUGCACAUCAAGGCUGUAGCCCACCUCUCCAACUCGGUGAAGCGAGAAUUAGCGGCUGUUCUGCUCUUUGAACCACACAGCAAGGCAGGGACCGUGUUGUUCAGCCAGGGGGACAAGGGCACUUCAUGGUACAUUAUCUGGAAGGGAUCUGUCAACGUGGUGACCCAUGGCAAGGGGCUGGUGACCACCCUGCAUGAGGGAGAUGACUUUGGACAGCUGGCUCUGGUGAAUGAUGCACCCCGGGCAGCCACCAUCAUCCUGCGAGAAGACAACUGUCAUUUCCUGCGUGUGGACAAGCAGGACUUCAACCGUAUCAUCAAGGAUGUGGAGGCAAAGACCAUGCGGCUGGAAGAACAUGGCAAAGUGGUGCUGGUGCUGGAGAGAGCCUCUCAGGGCACCGGCCCAUCUCGACCCCCAACCCCAGGCAGGAACCGGUAUACAGUGAUGUCUGGUACCCCAGAGAAGAUCCUAGAGCUCCUGUUGGAGGCCAUGGGACCAGAUUCCAGUGCUCAUGACCCAACAGAGACAUUCCUCAGCGACUUCCUCCUGACCCACAGGGUCUUCAUGCCCAGCGCCCAACUCUGUGCCGCCCUUCUGCACCACUUCCAUGCGGAGCCUGCGGGUGGCAGUGAGCAGGAGCGCAGCACCUACAUCUGCAACAAGAGGCAGCAGAUCCUGCGGCUGGUCAGCCAGUGGGUGGCCCUGUAUGGCUCCAUGCUCCACACUGACCCUGUGGCUACCAGCUUCCUCCAGAAACUCUCGGACCUGGUGGGCAGGGACGCCCGACUCAGCAACCUGCUGAGGGAGCAGUGGCCAGAGAGGCGGCGACACCACAGGUUGGAGAACGGCUGUGGGAAUGCAUCUCCUCAGAUGAAGGCCCGGAACUUGCCUGUUUGGCUCCCCAACCAGGACGAGCCCCUUCCUGGCAGCAGCUGUGCCAUCCGAGUUGGGGAUAAAGUCCCCUAUGACAUCUGCCUGCCAGACCACUCAGUGUUGACCCUGCAGCUGCCUGUGACAGCGUCUGUGAGAGAGGUGAUGGCGGCGUUGGCUCAGGAGGAUGGCUGGACCAAGGGGCAGGUGCUGGUGAAGGUCAAUUCUGCAGGUGCGUGGCUGUGUGGGCACAUGUACCUGUGUAUUCUGAGCACCCGCCCAGGACUUCAACCCCGCUACGAGGAGAAACAACCUCCCAGCCUCCCAAACAUCUCUUCCACCCUGUCCUCCAGCUGGUCCCUGGCCUCCCUCCCUUCCCCCAGCCAGGCCGCCACUGCUGUCUUUGCAGAUGCCAUUGGCCUGCAGCCAGAUGCCCGUGGUGUGGCCACAUCUCUGGGGCUCAAUGAGCGGCUCUUUGUUGUCAACCCACAGGAAGUGCAUGAGCUGACCCCACACCCUGACCAGCUGGGGCCCACUGUGGGCUCUGCUGAGGGGCUGGACCUGGUGAGUGCCAAGGACCUGGCAGGCCAGCUGACGGACCACGACUGGAGCCUCUUCAACAGCAUCCACCAGGUGGAGCUAAUUUACUAUGCGCUGGGCCCCCAGCAUCUGCGGGAUGUCACCACCGCCAACCUGGAGCGCUUCAUGCGCCGCUUCAACGAGCUGCAGUACUGGGUGGCCACCGAGCUGUGUCUCUGCCCGGUGCCCGGCCCCCGGGCCCAGCUGCUCAGGAAGUUCAUUAAGCUGGCAGCCCACCUCAAGGAGCAGAAGAAUCUCAAUUCCUUCUUUGCCGUCAUGUUUGGCCUCAGCAACUCGGCCAUCAGCCGCCUAGCCCACACCUGGGAGCGGCUGCCGCACAAAGUCCGGAAGCUGUACUCCGCCCUCGAGAGGCUGCUGGAUCCCUCAUGGAACCACCGGGUGUACCGACUGGCCCUCCCCAGGAUCCCUGAACCACCGGGUGUACCGACUGGCCCCAAGCUCUCCCCUCCUAUCAUCCCUCUAUGCCCUCCUUCUCAAAGACAUGACCUUCAUUCAUGAGGGAAACCACACACUAGUGGAGAACCUCAUCAACUUUGAGAAGAUGAGAAUGAUGGCCAGAGCCGCGCGGAUGCUGCACCACUGCCGAAGCCACAACCCUGUGCCUCUCUCACCACUCAGAAGCCGAGUUUCCCACCUCCACGAGGACAGCCAGGUGGCGAGAAUUUCCACAUGCUCGGAGCAGUCCCUGAGCACCCGGAGUCCAGCCAGCACCUGGGCUUAUGUCCAGCAGCUGAAGGUCAUCGACAACCAGCGGGAACUCUCCCGCCUCUCCCGAGAGCUGGAGCCAUGAGGAGGGGCUGGGACUAGAGCUGGAGCAGGCACUUGUGGUCUGGAAAGCCAGGGCGUGCCGGGCCAAGAUACCCACAGGCUGGCCACAGCUGAGCAGGGCUCUCUGUGCAGUGGACUCGAGUCCGUGGAGCAGGCAGCGUGGAGGCAGCCGUCCCCUGAGAUGACUGGCAGCUAAGGAGGACCUCGGAGUGGACCCAAGCCGGGAAUAAGGAAUGACCCAAGGCCAAGGAAAGGGGGACAGAGAGGCCCCAGGAGGGGGUGGAGAGUGGAGUGCGCUGGGAUGUUGUGUGCAAUAGAGAGCUCUCCACACCAGGUGUUUUCCAGAUUCUGUGCCUCUGGCUUUGUUGUCCAGCCAGGCCUGCAGUUUGUUUUCACAGUGGACACAGAGAGAGAGAGGCUGCAUGUGUGUACCGUGUGUGGCAAGGGCAGGGCCUUGGCCUCGGGCAGGGGCCCCCUGCUUUCUUUCUACAGCAUCUGAGAUAAACAUCGGGCAGUGGGGCUUGGGGCUGCGAGCCUG